rnacentral:lncRNA from 1 species
AUGCCUCUGUAGGCUUUAUAUAAGGUUUCUUUCCAUAUUCAGCUCCACAGUAUCAUACAUAUUUACUGUCUGACGGUUUUACACCCCUAACUUGAAACUAUCCUUUCCUAAUUUGUAAACACAGAUGAAUGAAAGUGACUUCAGUGUCUUGAUAGUGACAGAAGACUCGUCUAUUGUCUUGAAUCAACUGCGUUUGGAUGAAGAAGGAACAUACCGCUGCUCCCUGCAAGCCCAAAAUGGAACCAUCUUCUAUCAAGCCACUUUCCCACUCACUGGCUCUGUCAUGAUCUCAACGCCAGUCCUCGACGUCCGUCACGUAUCAUUUAGCUGCUUCUGCCUUCUUGUCUUGUUGUGCGCAUCUGAGGGGAUGUUGGUGUGAAACCAAAUUUCCUGUGAAAAGGCGCUAAGGAAUCAUCAACAACAGCAGCAAAUUCACACCUGUCUUUUGCCAUUGUGUCACAUGAGGUCAUGAUUGGUAACAAAGAAAAGCAAAUGAAAGGUUUAAAAAUGAAAGCAAUCAGUUGAUAUUGGAUGAGUCACUGCCACUUGGAAGUCACCGGUGAAUUAUUGCUCAGGUUUUCAGGGUAAUUCCUGAUGAGAGUAUUUUAAUCACUGAAAGCCGGCUUGGGUUAUGAGCAAAGGCAAAUGAAACAAAGGUCGCAACAGUGUGAGGGGGUGUGUGCGCAGAGGCUGAAAAAGAGAGAGGCUGUGGUCUGUCUGGAUAGUGACAGGAUGUAUGUGUGGUGCUGUUUCCUGUCUGGCUCACUGACAUGGGGGCGAAAGCCGAAAAAAAAUCUUUAAGACACCCUCACACAGAGAUAGUGGCGUCACAAUCUUACAACUACGUGGGUUUAUAUGUGUGUGUGUUUUAAACUAAUAUGCAGGCUGAGGCUACUGUAAAUGCAUGCUCAGCGACUUCACUGACAGCCAUGAUGAAGUGUGCAGUUUGAGUGUUUGUGUGCACAUACUGCUGUGGACUGAAAUUGCAGCCUCAGCAGGGAGAGGGAAUGACAAAGUGUGAGCACUGCUGGAGGAGCAGCAGGCAGCCACAGGGGAGGGCGAAGAGGGAAGUGGGAACAAGAAGAAAGUGGAGUCAGAGGUUUGAGUGGGAGAGAUCUGUGGGAAGGCAGUCUGAUUUUUAAUGUGGGUUAUGAGGAAACGAGGACAAAGACGUCAGAUUACGCCUCGUGAUAAAAACCGUCCCACACUACACAUAGAGUAUACUUUCACAUGAGUGACCUAUAGUGGUGGAAUGACCUCAAGAUUGCUGUCUUCACUGCCAUAACAACUUUUAUUGAAAAAUAAUUCAAUAAAAGCAUCAGAAAAUACUCCUGAGAUCCAUUAAAGCACCUAAAACUUGGCUUUAGUGCUCAGGUGUUUAUCAGUAGUUAAAUAUUCACAACUGAAUAUUUAAAAUCCUAUGAGUAAUUACUAGCUAUUGUUUGUUAUGAGGUUAAUGUGUUUGCAUAGUGUGAUCAGAUCUGACCAAAAGUGGCUAACACAUUCACUUGUCAUCAUAUUUACGUGUAGAUAUUAACAGAAUUAUGCUCAUGUACUUCAGACUGCUGAGAUAAUGACAAAUACAGAGAUCACUAACACAAAAUCCAGAGUUCAUUUAGGUCCCCCCCCCCAACACUCAAUGUGGAGGAGGCUUUGAAGUCACCAAAAAGUCACCAACAUGGUAACUUAACUGUAACCAUUAACCAUGAAUACCAUCGGUCUGCUGCUCAGUCCCCCAAACAAAGAGUUUGUACUGUGUGAUAUUUGAAAUUUAAUUUUAAAAGGGAAAUAAAUUGUUUUAUAUUUAAAAUUGAGAGGUGGCACUUUUUUUUUCUAUAUUAGCCUGAAAGGCUUCUGCUAAGACUUCCAUCUAAUUUAUGACUUCUCUUGUUGAUCACAAUGCUUUUAAGUUACUGUAAGUCUGACAAUAUGUCAUUUUUUAAAGAUACAGUACUGUGCAAAAGUCAUGAAUUAUCUCUCAUCUCUUCAUGAUUUGUUAGAAAAAUUAGGAAUGGGUUAUUGAAACGUGCAAACAUAAAUCAAAUAAAUGGACUGUUUUUUAUGUAGUGCCUUUCAUUCAUCCAUUCACACACACACACUCAUACAGCAUUUUAUCUAUACCUAAGCGCUUUCUAACAUUCACACAUUCACACUCAUACUUCAUCAUGUGGACUGGAGGAGUCUGAGAUCAAUCCCCCGACCCUCCGGCUGGUAGAGAACCCCCUCUAACCGCCAGGACACAAGGAGGAAAAUUUUGGCUUAAAAAUGGUAAAAUCUAUAUCCUUUAUCUUAUACAU